GACGAACGCUGGCGGCGUGCCUAAUACAUGCAAGUAGAACGCUGAAGCCUGGUGCUUGCACCGAGCGGAUGAGUUGCGAACGGGUGAGUAACGCGUAGGUAACCUGCCUGGUAGCGGGGGAUAACUAUUGGAAACGAUAGCUAAUACCGCAUAAGAGUAGAUAUUGCAUGACAUUUGCUUAAAAGGUGCAAUUGCAUCACUACCAGAUGGACCUGCGUUGUAUUACCUAGUUGGUGAGGUAACGGCUCACCAAGGCAACGAUACAUAGGCGACCUGAAAGGGUGAUCGGCCACCCUGGGACUGAGCCACGGCCCAGACUCCUACGGGAGGUACCACUAUUGAAUCUUCGUCU
rnacentral:rRNA from 1 species